rnacentral:rRNA from 1 species
UACAUGGAGUGCAAACGUUGCUCGGAAUUAUUGGGCGUAAAGCGCGCGUAGGCGGUUACUUAAGUCGGAUGUGAAAGCCCUCGGCUUAACUGAGGAAGUGCAUCCGAAACUGAGUAGCUAGAGUACGAAAGAGGGUCGCGGAAUUCCCGGUGUAGAGGUGAAAUUCGUAGAUAUCGGGAGGAACACCGGUGGCGAAGGCGGCGACCUGGGUCGAGACUGACGCUGAUGCGCGAAAGCGUGGGGAGCAAACAGG